GACGAACGCUGGCGGCGUGCCUAAUACAUGCAAGUUGAGCGAUGAAGAUUGGUGCUUGCACCAAUUUGAAGAGCAGCGAACGGGUGAGUAACGCGUGGGGAAUCUGCCUUUGAGCGGGGGACAACAUUUGGAAACGAAUGCUAAUACCGCAUAACAACUUUAAACAUAAGUUUUAAGUUUGAAAGAUGCAAUUGCAUCACUCAAAGAUGAUCCCGCGUUGUAUUAGCUAGUUGGUGAGGUAAAGGCUCACCAAGGCGAUGAUACAUAGCCGACCUGAGAGGGUGAUCGGCCACAUUGGGACUGAGACACGGCCCAAACUCCUACGGGAGGCAGCAGUAGGGCAUCUUCGGCAAUAGACGAAAGUCUGACCGAGCAACGCCGCGUGAGUGAAGAAGGUUUUCGGAUCGUAAAACUCUGUUGGUAGAGAAGAACGUUGGUGAGAGUGGAAAGCUCAUCAAGUGACGGUAACUACCCAGAAAGGGACGGCUAACUACGUG
rnacentral:rRNA from 1 species